UCCCCACCACAGACUCGCUGUCGCAAGUCCACCCACCCACCGCCCUCCCUGCCUCCCCUCUCGCUCGCCAGCCUCCAGCAGUAGCCUCGGGGUCUCAGGGAUGCCAGCUUCCAGGCGGCGCCCAGCCCCACUCCGGCCGCCUCUACCGACAGCUCCGGCACACGGUGCGCUGCAGCUGGAAGGGAAGAUGACGGAUGGCGGGGUCGGCACAGAACUGCACAUCCCCAACUCCUCCUACUGAGUACUGACUCACCCCCGCCCCCAAGUUUUGCACUCCUGGUCGACCACCACCAUUAACGAGACAUGGUACUGAUCAGCUAGGCGCUCGUUUGUUUGUAUGUACACUGUCGGUGUCUAUCAGACUUUGAUUGAGAUUCAUCUUUCUGCACUACAACAAUGUUAUCACAGACAUCUUAAUUAGUUUAUGUGAUCCCCGGCACAGGGGGAGCUCUCGGUAGGGCGAGGACGGGCGCCCGCCCUACCUUGAUUUGCCGGGGAAGAAAAUUACGUAGGUACUCGCUCUGAUUCGUCGAUAGUUCCUGAAAAAAUCGUUGUCUUGUUGGAUCCUGAGUCAGUGAGCAGCGAUUCUGUCAUCUCCAAUGUUCCAGCCGUCCAACAUAGCAGGAAGCCAGCCGGAGCUUACCUAGCAGCACGGAGCGGCGCGCGGAGCCGGCGGACGGCUGCGGUCUGUGUGCGGGCCGGUGGACAGCGAGAGCAGCGAGGGCGGCGGUCAGCGUCCACACCCUGCCUGCAGCCCCCUCAUCGACUCUGUUCUUUUUCCAUCCAUGUUCUGUUUUCUCUUUUUCUAGUCGUGUGUGCACUAGUGGCUGGAGAUUCAUAACAUAUUGACGAAUUUUUCUAAUUAAAAACAGUGAGAAUGUGUGAUAUGUGAUAGUAAUUACUCAGUGCUUUACAUUCAUUUUUGUAUGUGCUUUAUGCUCUGUGAUAGAAAAUUUUCUUAAUAUUGAUGACAAAUUGACAAUUGCUGAUUAAAAACAGUGAGUGUGGGUGGUGCAGCGGCGUUGCCAACUUUGUGGGCGAAGGGAAAACAUGGAUAUGAAGGGGAAGGCCUAGCAAAGGCAAAGGGGAGAGUUCGCCCCACCUCAGAAAAAAUUCGUCCUCCGCCACUGAUCCUCAGGGAAAAAAUGUCCGCCCCGGUGAACUGCCACCCUCUCUGUCUCUGAGAACCCUUCGUCUUGCAACCAAAAUUCAUCCAUGCGUCGUCUGCCAUGUGAAGCUUGUUGCCAUCAGGUAGACUGACCUCGUGCCCGCCACUAUCGACCAGCGGGAAGCUAGCGAGUGAUUUGGAGAACAUAAGUGACUUGCGCGAGCGCACAAGGCAGCCAAUUCAUCUAUAGAAACUUUUCUGAUGUUGUCUGAUAAAGAGCACCGUGGAUGGAUAUAUUAUCAUUUUUGGUAAAAUCUAAUCAUAUGUGAUUAUGUGAAACAUCUGGAUUAGAUGCGUUGCACUAUGUCUGAAGCAGCAAAAUGGCAUCAUGCUCGCUUUUGUGUUCGACUGAAGAGUAUUAAUGUGAACUAGCAUGAGAAUUCAGUUUUUUAUGGUAAAUGUCGUCUUAUAGUCUUAUGUGGAGAUAGUAUUAAGGCUUGGACAUUAUUAGUGUCGCAACCAUGAAAGGUCAGUCCCCGUAUGUUAACCUGAUGUUAUUUCUUUACAUAUUUUUUGUAAGGUAUAUCCAUCAACAACAACAUGAUGUUUCUUCCUUUUACAGUAUACGUAUCUAUACUUCGUAUGGUAACAUGACAUCAACCAGACUAGACUAAACUUCUGGAGGGCAUGUUUACUCGGUGUGAAAACUUGUACGUGCGAAUUCUAAAGGUAGCCACCACAAGGAUAAACUACAGAAGUAGAGAAAGCAAGGAGCUAUUAUUCCACUAUCAGCAUGUACAAACUAGAAAUCAUAUACUCCCUCUGUUCCUAAAUAUAAGUCCUUUUAGAGAUUUCGAUGUGAACUAUACACGGAGCAAAAUCAGUGAAUCUAUGCUCUAAAGUACAUCUAUAUACAUUAGUAUGUAGUCCCAAUUAAAAUCUGUAAAAAAGACUUAUCUUCAGAAACGGAGGGAGUAGAUAUAUUUCAGCUAGUUUGUGAAAUACGUUAUUUUUUUAUUGAUGAUGUGUACAAUUGAGUUUGUAAAAUACUACUGCUCUAAUUAAUACAAUGCUAUUAUUUUGCGCGAUACCA